UACGUAGGGGGCGAGCGUUGUCCGGAUUUAUUGGGCGUAAAGAGCGUGUAGGCGGCCAGGUAGGUCUGCUGUGAAAAGCUGGGGCUUAACCCUGGCCUUGCAGUGGAUACGGGCAGACUAGAGGUAGGUAGGGGAGAAUGGAAUUCCCGGUGUAGCGGUGAAAUGCGCAGAUAUCGGGAGGAACACCGGUGGCGAAGGCGGUUCUCUGGGCCUUACCUGACGCUGAGGAGCGAAAGCGUGGGGAGCGAACAGG
rnacentral:rRNA from 1 species